GACGAACGCUGGCGGCGUGCCUAAUACAUGCCAGUUGAGCGAUGAAGAUUGGUGCUUGCACCAAUUUGAAGAGCAGCGAACGGGUGAGUAACGCGUGGGGAAUCUGCCUUUGAGCGGGGGACAACAUUUGGAAACGAAUGCUAAUACCGCAUAAUAACUUUAAACAUAAGUUUUAAGUUUGAAAGAUGCAAUUGCAUCACUCAAAGAUGAUCCCGCGUUGUAUUAGCUAGUUGGUGAGGUAAAGGCUCACCAAGGCGAUGAUACAUAGCCGACCUGAGAGGGUGAUCGGCCACAUUGGGACUGAGACACGGCCCAAACUCCUACGGGAGGCAGCAGUAGGGAAUCUUCGGCAAUGGACGAAAGUCUGACCGAGCAACGCCGCGUGAGUGAAGAAGGUUUUCGGAUCGUAAAACUCUGUUGGUAGAGAAGAACGUUGGUGAGAGUGGAAAGCUCAUCAAGUGACGGUAACUACCCAGAAAGGGACGGCUAACUACGUG
rnacentral:rRNA from 1 species